rnacentral:lncRNA from 10 species
UACCAUUUAAGUACAAGAUGUCCUUGACUCUUCAUCAACUGCUACAUUAAUAAUGAACAUAACCCUGGGAAAUUUGGGGAUUUCAUAUGGUGCGAAGAGAGGUCACUUUGAGGUAUUCAGCUGGUGGAUGGCUUCUCUUACAUGUCCCCUUGGCAGGGAUCACUAGAAGUCUGGCUCAGCUGGGGCUAUUCACCAUGGUGGCUACAUAAUGGCUUCUCCAGUAUGGUGAUUUCAGGUUAGUUGAAUUUUUACAUUAUAGCUCAAGACUAGCAAACAUAGUGUUUGAAGAAGCUUGAGUGGAAGCUUCAAGACUUAUGACCAAGAUUAGAAGUCCUGGAAUGUCACUUCUACCAUUUUCUACUGCUCAAGAAAGUCACUAAGACCAGCCCAAAUCCAAGGAGAGAGGAAUUAGAUUUCAACUCUCAACAGGAGAAGUACCAUACUAAAGACUAUAUGACCAUCUUUGGAGCACAAGAGUUGAUGAAAGAAAACACUCUCAAAGUCAAGUUUGCUGUAGCCUGUAUACCUGAAAACGGUGGGCUUGAGAGGCCGGGAAGAGAAAGAAAGAAGAGGGAUAGUAACAACCUAAACAGCAAAGACUUGGAACUUGAAAUUAAAAAGAUAUACACCUAUCUAUGUAUUUCUGAUAUGUUUGUCAUAAUUUCAACCAAAGUUCAUGAUCUAUAGAAUUUUGCAUAAAUAAAAAAUAUCAUUUGGUUAGU